rnacentral:rRNA from 1 species
AUCAGAAUGUCACGGUGAAUACGUUCCCGGGCCUUGUACACACCGCCCGUCACACCAUGGGAGUGGGCUGCAAAAGAAGUGGGUAGUUUAACCUUUCGAGGAGGACGCUCACCACUUUGUGGUUCAUGACUGGGGUGAAGUCGUAACAAGGUAGCCCUAGGGGAACCUGGGGCUGGAUCACCUCCUUA